GUCCCCAGCCUCUAUUAAAGGCCAUUUUGCAGAUAGCCCCCUCAACUUUUCAUCAUCUAAACCAGCCGUCUCUGGGCAUUUUCGCAGUGAGGGACCGGUCCCAGCUCGGGGAGACCGGUCCCCGAGAGCUGCCAUCUCGAGCAGAAGAAUUUCGCGUUCGGGAACCGGUCCUUGCCUGAGAGACCGGUCCCCGGGAGACCGGUCCUUGUCCGAGAGACCGGUUCCCGAGAGCUGCAUUCUCGGAACUUAGCCAAAUUUCGGCUAGUCUCGCCGGGCCAACGUUCGGGAACCGGUCCCUCACUGUCAGGGACCGGUCUCAUCAGAGACCCCCGCAGCCCAGCCUGAUGGGACCGGUCCCUCCCUGCCAGGGACCGGUCCCCGAGAGCAAUUCUGCUCCAGUGCAGAUUUCGCACUGGUGCUCCCGCGGACCC
rnacentral:lncRNA from 1 species